AUUCUAUGUCAGAGGUGCAGCACAAGUCUCGCCCCUGUUCCAGCAUGGAGUUGUUCAAGUUCGGUGGCACUUUGGAUAUUCCAUUUCAGUGCCACGGCAAGAAAAGGAGUAUCUUCGUUUGCUUUAUUGGAUGCCGGCACUGAACGCCACUGCACAGCUUCGUGGAAUGCCUGCUGUUGGAUGCUUGCAGAUCCCUGCCACCAAGCAACCUCCUGCAUUGGAAAUCGGGUGACUACUCCAGGAUCUUAUGCGUGCUUGCUGUUUGAAGCUGCAGAAAAGUGAAUAAUCAAUUAAGUAUUGAUUUCUUGUAAGAUUUGGUAAAUUUCAAAGGGAAGACAAAGAGGAUGGCUUAAGGAAAGCACUGCAGGGACUUGGCGUAAAUUAGAAAACUAACAGCAGUGCAGAAUAAAAUAACACCUCAACUGAAUAUUUCCUUGGAAGAAUUAGCACCAGCUAUUGGAAGACGAUGGUGGAUUUAAUCAAGACGGCAGGCAUGCUUGAGUUUUAACCGUGAACCUGAAAGUGGAGCUAAUUAUAACCACCUUUUUAUAUGGAGCUAAUUUGACUGAAUGGAUGCAAAUGUGCUUUAUUUAUGGAUGAAGAAGCAAGCUUUACAGCGUUGACUUUGGGAUCAUCGCAUAUGCUAAGCUUUACAGCUUGCCUAAAAGUCAAGCCUACAGUACAUUUUUAUUUACCGAGAAGGUAUUUAUAUGUAAGCAUAAGCUUGCCGUACGAAAGAUUCAUCAGAACAAUGUACUGUGACACUGAGUAUCUAAUUAUAAUUUUGCAGCAUUUCAUGUUUUCUCUAAUUUGAUGCUUUUCAACCCUUGCUUGUGCUGGGCUAUAAAUGGGACAAUAAAUGUAUGCUUU
rnacentral:lncRNA from 7 species